rfam:Erwinia iniecta strain B120 contig000003, whole genome shotgun sequence.
CAGCAACUGGUUGCUGGGAGCCAGGGGCGGUAGCGUG